AGUGAACGCUGGCGGUAGGCCUAACACAUGCAAGUCGAACGGCAGCACAGUAAGAGCUUGCUCUUGCGGGUGGCGAGUGGCGGACGGGUGAGGAAUACAUCGGAAUCUACUUUUUCGUGGGGGAUAACGUAGGGAAACUUACGCUAAUACCGCAUACGACCUACGGGUGAAAGCAGGGGAUCUUCGGACCUUGCGCGAUUGAAUGAGCCGAUGUCGGAUUAGCUAGUUGGCGGGGUAAAGGCCCACCAAGGCGACGAUCCGUAGCUGGUCUGAGAGGAUGAUCAGCCACACUGGAACUGAGACACGGUCCAGACUCCUACGGGAGGCAGCAGUGGGGAAUAUUGGACAAAGGGCGCAAGCCUGAUCCAGCCAUACCGCGUGGGUGAAGAAGGCCUUCGGGUUGUAAAGCCCUUUUUUUGGGAAAGAAAAGCAGCAGGUUAAUACCCCGCUGUUCUGACGGUACCCAAAGAAUAAGCACCGGCUAACUUCGUG
rnacentral:rRNA from 1 species